GAAGGUAUAGCUCAGUGGUAGAGUGCAUGCUUAGAAUGCACGAGGUCCUGGCUUCAAUCCCCAGUGCCUCUG
rnacentral:tRNA from 1 species